ACCUGGCAACGGCUAGCGACGCCUUCGCCAAGGGCUGCAGUUUCAUUGGACGGCGGUUGCCCCUGCCAACCGCUAGCCACGCCUUCGCCACUUUCAUAAGCUCCGUAAUUAAUUAAAUAAUAGCCAUUACACAGUGUUGUUGGAGCGCUGAGGGGGGGGGGAAGGAACGCCACCCGUACCCUGCCUCUUCCAAGUCGACAAUUUUAGGCGAGGCCGCAGGCUUUGCACGCUACUAGGCCCCAACACCCACCACGCCACUCUGAGACGGGCGCGGCACGGGCUGGAGAAGAGAUGGAGUGAUGUGGUACAGGAGGACGUGGAGCUGAGUGGACUUGCCGAUGACUGGUACCAGCGGUGUCAAGAUCGGCUUCAGUGGAGGAGGCUCGUGAAGGACGCUACUGGGCAGUUGGAGGCAGUCGCCCUCCAACAACAAUGGAGGGCGGAGGAGCGACGCUCACAACAACGAGCGGAGCGCCGGGUGGCUAAAGCACAGCAAGUUGGCACAGUAGGGGGCACAGGUGGUGCAUCAGCCAGUCAUCUCGGUCAUCUCGGUCAGUCGACCAGUGGCACCUGGGUCUGCCCCGUGACCUCCUGCCAGCGGGCUUUCGACACUUCACGUGGCCUCAAGCAACAGGAGCAGAAAGAGGAGCAAGAAGCGACAGUAGCAGCAACAACAGCAGCAGCAGAAGCAACAACAGCAGCUAUAACAGCAACAGCAGCCAUCCCGACUGUGUUCUGCAUGGUGGUCGCCCAUCCAAGCUCCGUCCAAGCUCCAUCCCGGCUUAACUUGGCUUAGGUUCCAAGAUCUGAUGAGAUGGAGCGCAUUCCGGGUGAUUUGGCAGCACCCACACAACGCAUCAUAAAAUCAACAGCCACUGCCCUUGACUCCCUUGGUGCUAAUUCCCUUCAGUGGACCGCCCACUGCGUGUGCGGCCUGAACACCUGGUCCGACUCACCUCCAGCUCAAGCUGCUCGUCCAAGCCGCCACCGCCUGUCGAGAUACACCAUCCUAGAUCGUCUUGUCACGCAGCUUCCACAGCUGUCAAUCACCUCGCAGUUUUCCUGCCUGGAAGUAUUUUACACAUACUCUAUGACUUAUGUGAGCCAUAUGGCUUUAGUUGUACGUUUGCACGUUCUCCCCGUAAUUGCGUGUAAUUUUCUCCGGCUCCUCGGGUUUUUCCCCCUCCACAUUUAGAAACAUGCGUUUAGAGUAUUUGGCCGCUAUACACUUCCACGUGAUAAGCCACUUCAUUGAGCUAUUAUUUGUGGCUAAGUCGCUGCUGAAAAAGAGCUGUAAAGCUCAGUGGCUCUUACCUGGCAAAAUAAAAAAUAAGUUUUAUGGUUGUAAUAUCUGCGCACACUGGCAAAUGCUUAUUGACCCAUGGACUCACAGAUGACACCAUCAUCACUGCCAUUAUGUACCAGUGACAGGAGGACUAAAUGUGAAAUGUUAUUGCUUGUCAUGCCUUAGCGUCCGUUGACGUAAUAUCGGUUACGUAAUUAAUUGAUAUGUUGUUAUGUUUGAUGUAAAU